GUUUGCUGAAUGGGCGUGCUCUAUUGGAGCCACUGAGCUGCAGCCUUAUUAUUCACUAACCGCAUCAUUUCGUAUCCAACGAGAGAAAACGUCACCUGGGAUGAAAACUCAUUAAUCUGAACGGCCAAUUAUUCAUCGCUUUUCACUCUACUCCACCUAAACCACGUCGUUUGUACACUAAUCGUCUGAAGAGGAUCAGCAAACAUGUUCUACACCUGUGGUCCCAACGAGGCUAUGGUGGUAUCAGGUUUCUGCCGUUCUCCACCUCUCAUGAUAGCCGGAGGCCGAGUGUUCAUCAUCCCCUGUGUUCAGCAGAUA